CUUCUAAAUAGAGGCGCGCUGCGGAUGAGUACUUCUUUUCAUCAGGAAUGGGGAAAGGGAAGAGGAGAAAAGGCCAAAGCGCCGAAGUUCUGGCCGCAUCCCCAUUGGCGGCAGGGCUGGGGUGCUCGUGAAUAAUGAUCAUCCUGUCAUAGGAGAAGUUUCUCUUAUGGAGCGCUAUUUACGUU
rnacentral:ncRNA from 2 species